UACAGAGGGUGCAAGCGUUGCUCGGAUUUACUGGGCGUAAAGCGUACGCAGACGGUGAGGUAGGUCGGAUGUGAAAGCCCCGGGCUCAACCGAGGAACUGCAUUCGAUACUGCCGUGCUUGAGGACUGGAGAGGAGACUGGAAUUUACGGUGUAGCGGUGAAAUGCGUAGAUAUCGUAAGGAAGACCAGUGGCGAAGGCGGGUCUCUGGACAGUUCCUGACGCUGAGGCACGAAGGUCAGGGGAGCAAACGGG
rnacentral:rRNA from 1 species